rnacentral:rRNA from 1 species
UACGUAGGGUGCAAGCGUUAAUCGGAAUUACUGGGCGUAAAGCGUGCGCAGGCGGUAAUGUAAGACAGAUGUGAAAUCCCCGGGCUCAACCUGGGAACUGCAUUUGUGACUGCAUUGCUGGAGUGCGGCAGAGGGGGAUGGAAUUCCGCGUGUAGCAGUGAAAUGCGUAGAUAUGCGGAGGAACACCGAUGGCGAAGGCAAUCCCCUGGGCCUGCACUGACGCUCAUGCGCGAAAGCGUGGGGAGCAAACAGG